GUAUAGACCCGAAACCCGGUGAUCUAGCCAUGGGCAGGUUGAAGGUUGGGUAACACUAACUGGAGGACCGAACCGACUAAUGUUGAAAAAUUAGCGGAUGACUUGUGGCUGGGGGUGAAAGGCCAAUCAAACCGGGAGAUAGCUGGUUCUCCCCGAAAGCUAUUUAGGUAGCGCCUCGUGAACUCAUCUUCGGGGGUAGAGCACUGUUUCGGCUAGGGGGCCAUCCCGGCUUACCAACCCGAUGCAAACUACGAAUACCGAAGAAUGUUAUCACGGGAGACACACGGCGGGUGCUAACGUCCGUCGUGAAGAGGGAAACAACCCAGACCGCCAGCUAAGGUCCCAAAGUCAUGGUUAAGUGGGAAACGAUGUGGGAAGGCACAGACAGCCAGGAUGUUGGCUUAGAAGCAGCCAUCAUUUAAAGAAAGCGUAAUAGCUCACUGGUCGAGUCGGCCUGCGCGGAAGAUGUAACGGGGCUAAACCAUGCACCGAAGCUGCGGCAGCGACACUAUGUGUUGUUGGGUAGGGGAGCGUUCUGUAAGCCGUUGAAGGUGGCCUGUGAGGGUUGCUGGAGGUAUCAGAAGUGCGAAUGCUGACAUAAGUAACGAUAAAGCGGGUGAAAAGCCCGCUCGCCGGAAGACCAAGGGUUCCUGUCCAACGUUAAUCGGGGCAGGGUGAGUCGACCCCUAAGGCGAGGCCGAAAGGCGUAGUCGAUGGGAAACAGGUUAAUAUUCCUGUACUUGGUGUUACUGCGAAGGGGGGACGGAGAAGGCUAUGUUAGCCGGGCGACGGUUGUCCCGGUUUAAGCAUGUAGGCGGAACGAUUAGGUAAAUCCGGUCGUUUUUUAACGCUGAGGUGUGAUGACGAGGCACUACGGUGCUGAAGUAACAAAUGCCCUGCUUCCAGGAAAAGCCUCUAAGCAUCAGGUAACAUCAAAUCGUACCCCAAACCGACACAGGUGGUCAGGUAGAGAAUACCAAGGCGCUUGAGAGAACUCGGGUGAAGGAACUAGGCAAAAUGGUGCCGUAACUUCGGGAGAAGGCACGCUGAUAUGUAGGUGAAGCCCCUGCGGGUGGAGCUGAAAUCAGUCGAAGAUACCAGCUGGCUGCAACUGUUUAUUAAAAACACAGCACUGUGCAAACACGAAAGUGGACGUAUACGGUGUGACGCCUGCCCGGUGCCGGAAGGUUAAUUGAUGGGGUUAGCGG
rnacentral:rRNA from 1 species